UACGUAGGUGGCAAGCGUUGUCCGGAUUUACUGGGUGUAAAGGGCGUGUAGCCGGGCUGACAAGUCAGAUGUGAAAUUCCGGGGCUCAACCCCGGACCUGCAUUUGAAACUGUUGGUCUUGAGUAUCGGAGAGGCAGGCGGAAUUCCUAGUGUAGCGGUGAAAUGCGUAGAUAUAUGGAAGAACACCAGUGGCGAAAGCGGCUCUCUGGUCUGUAACUGACGCUGAGGUUCGAAAGCGUGGGUAGCAAACAGG
rnacentral:rRNA from 1 species